rnacentral:rRNA from 1 species
UACGUAGGUGGCAAGCGUUGUCCGGAAUUAUUGGGCGUAAAGAGCGUGUAGGCGGCCAGGUAGGUCUGCUGUGAAAACUCGAGGCUUAACCUCGAGCUGUCGGCGGAAACCAUCUGGCUAGAGUCCGGAAGAGGAGAAUGGAAUUCCCGGUGUAGCGGUGAAAUGCGCAGAUAUCGGGAAGAACACCCGUGGCGAAGGCGGUUCUCUGGGACGGUACUGACGCUGAGACGCGAAAGCGUGGGGGGCGAACAGG